CGAUAGCGUAUAUUAAAGUUGUUGCAGUUAAAAAGCUCGUAGUUGGACCUUGGACCUGGACAGGCGGUCCGCCUCACGGCGAGUACUGUCUUGCUGGGUCUUUCCUCUUGGUGAUCUGUUGUUUCGGCAGCAGGGAACCAGGACCUUUACUUUGAGAAAAUUAGAGUGUUUCAGGCAGGCUAGGCCGGAAUACAUUAGCAUGGAAUAAUGGAACAGGACUAUGGUCUCUUUGUUGGUUUGAGGGACUGCAGUAAUGAUUAAUAGGGACAGUUGGGGGCAUUAGUAUUUAAUUGUCAGAGGUGGAAUUCUCAGAUUUGUUAAAGACUAACUUAUGCGAAAGCAUUUGCCAAGGAUGUUUUCAUUAA
rnacentral:rRNA from 1 species